rnacentral:rRNA from 1 species
UACGAAGGGGGCUAGCGUUGCUCGGAAUGACUGGGCGUAAAGGGCGCGUAGGCGGUUUGAUCAGUUAGGCGUGAAAUUCCUGGGCUUAACCUGGGGGCUGCGCUUGAUACGGUCAGACUAGAGUGUGGAAGAGGGUCGUGGAAUUCCCAGUGUGGAGGUGAAAUUCGUAGAUAUUGGGAAGAACACCGGUGGCGAAGGCGGCGACCUGGUCCAUUACUGACGCUGAGGCGCGAAAGCGUGGGGAGCAAACAGGAUUAGAAACCCGUGUAGU